GACGAACGCUGGCGGCGUGCUUAACACAUGCAAGUCGAACGAAGUGGCGAACGGGUGAGUAACGCGUAAUCAACCUGCCCAUCAGAGGGGGACAACAGUUGGAAACGACUGCUAAUACCGCAUACUGAAGGAGGGGAUUGCGUCUGAUUAGCUAGUUGGGGGGGUAACGGCCCACCAAGGCGAUGAGCAGUAGACGGGUCUAGAGGAUGAACGGCCACAUUGGGAAUGAGACACGGCCCAGACUCCUACGGGAGGCAGCAGUGGGGAAUCAUCCGCAAGUGAGGAAAGUCUGACGGAGCAAAGCCGCGUUAGGGAUGACGGCCUUCGGGUUGUAAAGCUCUGUUAAUCGGGACGCGGUACCGGAAUAGAAAGCCACGGCUAACUACGUGCCAGCAGCCGCGGUAAUAC
rnacentral:rRNA from 1 species